UUGGGUGUUUUUUUUUUUUUUUUUUUUGGGUGUUUUUUUUUUUUUUC
rnacentral:ribozyme from 1 species